AUGAGACGAAGAUUACUAAAUUUGGUAAUUUCUCAGCCCUUGUUUACUCCGCUAAAUCUGCUUAUGAAGACACUGUUUGAAGGAAUAGCCCAAUCUUGGAAGGCUGGGCAUCGGCGAAGUGCAAGAUCUUCGCCAACCGCUGCCAGACAGAGGAUAUGCUGGAGCGACACAGGCUUCAAAAUCAGCAUCUUUGCCCUCUCUGCAGCCGGGAGGCCUAGGCCAUAUUCCAUCUCCUCACGUGCUACUUGGGAUGGACCGAACAUGAUCAAAAGCCACAAUUGGGAACAACCACACAAUGAUUGCGUGUUUGAUCGAUGCGACACCAGAUGGAUCGCUGAGUCGAAGCGCAGAGCUGCAUCGGAAACAGUUGUGAAUGUAUUCCUUGAUUCAUUUGGUCUGCCAGCUCUUGAUUUGGUCAUGGUUGCUAUCAACAUGGUGGUUUCCAGCUGCAACUGA
rnacentral:rRNA from 1 species